UCAAACUGAUGCAAUACAUCCAGAAAUUUUAGCAACUGCAAUUUCGUGCGUGAUUUGAGGAGAUUAGAUUAGUAAUUUGAAAAAUUCAGUUAUCACCCCCUUAUCUUCACGCUCUUCUUCUACAAAUUUGUGUUUAUAUUCUUCAAUUUAUCCAAUGCUAUUUCUUUCUCUCUGUCUCUCUCGCAUAUGGAGAUAUACCUCGAAAAUUCCUAAUCCAUCCGAAGGAACAUGAGAGAUCUUUCUGUAACUCAUUCCCAAAUUCAAAUAUAUCAAAUUUGAUGAUUAGCAGGAAAUCAGGAAUUACUGAUCAAUUUCAAAUUUAAAUUCGAUGGUCCAUAUAUACCUCCAUCGUUAUUGAUUUUAUUAUGUUCUCAUAACAAAGAUUGAUAAAAGGCUUGAAUAAGUACAUAAGGAGUGAAAAUCAGCCAAACCUACUCCGGGUAAAAGCAGGGCUAUAUGUGAUUCCUCCAACAGAUAUGGUGAUUGGAGGGCUCAACUCAUGUUCACUGCGAGACAUCGUGAAUACUUUGUAUAUCUUUCCAUCGUUCUCUUAAUUUUCUAUUUUCUAUGUUCCUUAAUAAUUUAAAAUUUGUAGUUUUGUAGAUGCAUCUUGUACAAAUCAAAAUUGUUAACUUUGCAUCUAUUGUAGGAACCAGUUAUUGGGUGAAAGAA